rnacentral:rRNA from 1 species
CCUACGGGAGGCAGCAGUGAGGAAUAUUGGUCAAUGGGCGGAAGCCUGAACCAGCCAAGUAGCGUGCAGGAUGACGGCCCUACGGGUUGUAAACUGCUUUUAUACGGGAAUAACGCGUCCUACGUGUAGGGUGUUGCAUGUACCGUAUGAAUAAGGAUCGGCUAAUUCCGUGCCAGCAGCCGCGGUAAUACGGAAGGUGCGGGCGUUAUCCGGAUUUAUUGGGUUUAAAGGGUGCGUAGGCCGCGUGUCAAGUUUGUGGUGAAAUGGCCGGGCUCAACCCGGGCCUUGCAGCGCGGACUGGCGUGCUUGAGUCCGCGGAAGGCAGGCGGAAUUCGUCGUGUAGCGGUGAAAUGCUUAGAUAUGACGAAGAACCCCGAUUGCGAAGGCAGCUUGCUGCAGCGGAACUGACGCUGAUGCUCGAGAGCGCGGGUAUCGAACAGGAUUAGAUACCCGGGUAGUC